UAAUAGUUAUUAUAAAUGAGAAUGUUGAUAUAGGUUCUCCUUUUGUUGGUUGUGGUGUUUUUAUUCUUGGUCAUUAUUCAUAUAAUUUUGUUGUUGUUGAAUUAAGGUUCAUGCAUUAGGUGGAAUGAAUUGCAUAACUACAUCAACAAAAAGAUACAAUUUGAGUCUUAAUCAUUCAUUGUCCUCCUUUGUUAAGUGAAUUUCCUCCUCACUUGUAGAAAGUUGUUAUUAGAAUUGGUUAAUCUCUUCAAAAGAAAAAAAAAAAACAUUUUUCCAUCAUCCAUCUUCUCACCGAGAAACUUUAUCACCUGUAACAUCAUCUGCUCCCGUGUAAAAUACACGAUCAUCACAGAUCAAAGAAAAACAACCACAAAACAAAACAAAGGGUAAGCUAGGUAUUUUUAAAACUUAUAAUAUAAAUAUAAUUUUAAAAUCCACAUAAAUCCAUCAUUUCUCAUGCAUUUCACAUAACCAUCAAGUCUUUAUCAAAAAUUUCAAUAUUCAUCUUUCUAAUGUUAGACUUCUACUGACUCAUAACACAUAGACACUUGACUAUACUUUCGAAAGACUCGUGCGUUGACUUAGACUCAAAGAUUUGCACCUGUCAUACUACAUCACUGUGAAAUCCACACAACUAUGCGCAUAAAUAAUCUCAAUAUCAUCUCUCUCCUAGUAUGACAGGGUUAACUCAUAUAACAGGUUAAGUUAGUUAUCUUUCAAACAACUUACCCAUUCAUAUGAAUCUCCUUCGACUCUCACCACUUGAAUAACUUCAUCUAUAUGAUUCCAUUAUCUCAGUAGAGUCAGGAUAUCUCCUUCUAGACGAAUCCCUAGUCAAUGCACAUCCUAAACAAUCUUAACAGGAUAUUUUCUUUCCUAAAAAUACUAUAUCUUGAUUAAAAUUCAUACUCUGAAUAACCUUACAAAAAUCCAACAUCAAAGAGUCAAAUCAUACAUAAUUUUAGAAUUUCCAAAACAUACCACAAUUCAUCUACUAAUCAUAUAAAUGUCUAAUUAAAGAGAUUUUCAAUUAAAUAUACAUGAAAUAAAAGUCUAUAUAAUUUAUAACUAUACAAAAAGAAAUAAACCAACCUUGUAAAAACAAAUAUAUAUAGAAAACAAAUUUCAUAUUUUUUUAAAUUUUUUUUAGAGAGCCUAGCUUGAGCUAGAAUUUGCUAGCUUGAGCUAAAAUCAACCCGAUAGCACCCAAAAUUUUAGCUUGAGCUAGAAUUUGCUAGCUUGAGCUAAACUCAACCCGAAAGCACCCAAAAUUUUAGCUUGAGCUACAAUUUGGUAGUUUGAGCUAAACUCAACCCGAGAGCACCCAGAGUUUUAGCUUGAGCUAGAAUUUGCUAGUCUGAGCUAAACUCAACCCGAGAGCACCCAGAUUUUUUUUAGCUUGAGCUAGAAUUUGCUAGCUUGAGCUAAACACAACCUGAGAGCACCCAUAAAUUUUAGCUUGAGCUAGAACUUGCUAGCUUGAGCGAAAUAUGCAGAAAAAUUCUGCAUAACUUAAUAUGCCUAUUAGAUUAUAAAUCAACAUCUCAUUCAAUUCAUAAAUUAUAAAUCUACACAUUACAUUGACAGUUCCUGUUCAGCAUGAUACAAUCACUCUCAUUGAAUCAUUGAGCUAUUAUGUCCAUCUAUACAUAUAUAUGGUUUCUAAUUCCAAAACCAUUUACAUCAAACAACCAAUUCUCAAUCACAACACUUUCAAUUUCAAUCAAACUACAAUCUACUCAAAACAAGAAAUCUUGCAACAAAAUUUGGAAUUUGUGACCACGUCACACUCACAUUUAAAUCUUCUAGCCUAGGGUUCUAUUGAAAAUUUUAAACUAGCUUCCCUUACCUGGACUUUAGCAGAUGCUCACUAAGAGCUCCAAACCCACCAAAAGCUUAAGGAUACCCUAACCAGCAUCACAGAGUCCUGAUCACAAAUCUAACUAUAUCACUAGGACCUUGAGCUAACAGAGACUAAUUUUGAAGUUAAAAACCUCACAUGCAAACUUAGACUAAAAGACAACCUAACCAGAUCAAAACUAAUUCAAAGGAAAAGGAGCCAAGAAUGAACUUACUCUAUCUAAGAUUUUGAUCAGUCAAUCUUGUAGAGUUCACUGUCAGGAGUCCAAUGAUGGACUCCGAUCGUUGAUUUGAUGAGCGAGGAGGUCGAAAUUUUAGAGAGAAGGCAGAGGAAAGGAAAAUGAGUUUUUAGAGAGAUGAUGGUUCUUUUAAAAUGAAACCUGAAUAACUUAAUUUAUAUUUAUAUAGCCUUUUCACUUUAAUAAUAAAAUAUUCAGGUGCCAUUUUAAUUGUACUAUUUAUACUCUAAGACUAUUUUUCUCGGUCCUUACACAUACUACAUUUGUAGGUAGUUACAUAUGGACCAUAUCCCUAGAUAAUUAUGUAAGAACUAUAUCCAUAUAAUUACACUAUAUCUGUAGCUAAAUCAUCGUUAACUUAUUAUUCAAUCUUCACAAAUAAAUAUCAAACAUCAUCCCAACUUUUAACCAAAGACCAACCAUUUCAUUAGUUAUGAACUCAAAGUAUAGGAAUCAAAGAACUGAAAAAUGAAAAAUAAAAUAAUUGCAUAACAAAAAAUGAAAUCAAUACUAAAUUAGUCAUAAAUGCUUAGAAAGAUACAACUAGCACUGAAGUCAUGAGUGUUCAAUAGAGCCAACAAGGGAGACGACAAAGGUUAAAGAAACAACAUUUAGACGGGAAGGAUCAUUAUAGUUCUCAGUGUUUGGUUUGUGUUUGAAGUUGGAGAUUGACCCUCUUGCCUAGUAGGUGUUGGUGAAGAAGAUGAUGAUUAUGAUGAGGGUGGAGAAGCAUUGGCGAUUGGGUUGGUGUUCAACCAAAACAUUGACAUUACUGAAAAAAAAAGUAAUUAUUUAGGUUUGUCAUCUUUUGACAUGAAUUUGUUAUCCUCAAAUGUUGAACCAUUGCCUUUAUUUUUUUUUUGUCAAUUCCUGAAAUUAGAACACUAAUUACUUUAAUCAUUGACCAUAAACAAAUCUUCAUAUUCACUAAAUGUGCGCUAAUAAUGAAAAAUAAAUAUUAUGGUUAGAUGUACUUAGAUAUUAUGAGAUAUUGUUAGAUAUUACUAUUUAUAUAAUGGGCUUAGCCCAUGUUUCUUUUCCUAUAUAAACAUUAGCCCAUAUGUUUCUUUUCCUAUAUAAACAUAACCUUACACAAGAGAUUUAUCAUAUUCUUUCUUAUUCUUUCUUUUUCUUUAAUAGUUGUUAUUUAAGAGAUAUUUUGUCUCCCUAACUAGAAGCAUCAUUGACGGAGUCAAAAAGAAAAAAAAUAUAACAAAUUUUGUCAAAAAGAUACUGGAAGAAGAAUUUACAUGUUUAAGUAACUUUUCGCUAAAUUACAUUCAACUUACUUUAACCCCUAGGAGAAGUGGACUAUCACACUUGCAAGCAAUCAAUUCAUUAGGAUAAUGUAGACUUUUGAAAAUAAGGACAUAAAUUCCUUCAAGAUGCCUCAUAAGUUCCAAAACAACCUAACCGAAUGUAACAAAAUAUGCAACAUAAUUGAAAAUGUACUUCAAGUUAAAAUCAUCCAAAACCAUUAUGACAUUCACAUGAGUAUAAGAGAAACCUUAGAUUGACAUUCAAUUUGUUUUUACUUUGAAUCUGUUUAGCAAAACAAAUAAAAAACAUAAUCAAAAAAUCUUUUAGUUCCAAAUAAUAUUUGAUAUCGAAAAAAAGACUAUUUGAGAUUUUUAAAAUUUCAAACUUAUUCUAUUUCGAACAAAUUUAGAAAUAUUCACAGUAUAUUCAACAAAAUAUUUACAAAACUUAAUUUGAACAAAUCUAUUUAAGAAAAAAAAUAGAUUUUAGAAAUAUACGAAAUUGAAUACGAAACUCAAAUAAAUUAAGUGGGGAGAGAACAAAUUCAUGUUUUGGUUUUAGGAAACUGUUAUUCUCAAAUUUCAGAAAUGUUGUUUUAAGUUUUAAUUUAAACAUUUAUUAUUCAUUUGUAUUAUUACAUUCCAAAUUACGUUUAAAUAUCUUGUUUAACAAAUAUGUAGCACAAAACUAUACUUAUUUUUAUUUUCAUUCUCUUAAUUUUUAAAAUAUUAAAGUUUAAUAACAUUAAUUUUUUAUGUUAUUUUUAUAAUUACUUGUAUUAUUGCACCCCAAAAUAUAAUUAAAAAUAUUUUUUAAAUUUAUAUAUAAAAUAAACGUAUAUACACAACAAGUUUAUAUUCUUUUAAUUAUUGUUCAUUUUCGUUGCAUUUAAAUCUUUUGUUCCAAUUAAUAAACCAUAAAAUUUUAUUUAAAUCAGUGGACACUUAUAUUGCUAUUUUUUUCUACGGAAGUAUUGUUAUUGUUUAUUCUAACAAUAUAUAUUUUCUAUUAGAGCUUUAAUAAAUAUCUAAAUUAAAUACUAACCAUAUAUAUAUAUAUAUAAAGUUUCAAUAAUUAAAAUGGAUAAUUUUUAAUUUUAUUCAGUUUUAAUUUUUCUCGCGUUUGAUAAAAUUAUUAAUUUUCUAGAUAAAAUGACCUGGGUUUUACAGCAAGAGUGCUGCUGGGGGAAUGAGUGCCCAAAAUUCAAUGGGAAUUUGGAGAGUAGUGGCGCCGAUUGGAAGAAGUCCACGAUUGAAAGUAUCAUAAAAUUGGCCUUUUUAUUGGUAACCUCCUUUUCAUUUUUUUUAUCGAUAAUGAAUAAAUAAAAUUAAAAGAUACUUCAGGGAUAACUAACCUCCUUUUCGUUGUUAAUUUUUUUUUUGUUAUUCUCAUAUUAUAUUUUGAAUUAUAUAAUUUAAAAAUUUGAAAUAUAUUUUUGAAAAAUAGUAUUUCAGAUUUUAUAAUCUAGAAGUCUGAAUUUAAGAUUAACUUUCGAAUAUGCAUUUGAGAAAAGACUUCUAGAUUAUAUAAUCCGAAAGCUAAUCUUAUAUUAGAAAAAACUUUCAGAUUAUGUAAUCCAGAAACAAAUCAUGUCUAUAAAAAAAUAUUAUAAAUUAUGUAAUCCAGAAACUAAUUACGAAUUUGAAAAAAAAAAUUUAGAUUUCAUAAUCCAAAAUAUUAAAGUGAGAAAUUUUAGAAAUACCAAAAAUUUAUGAAGAUGGGAGAAAAACAUAUUAAGCUGCAAGAAGAAAGAGACCUUUCUUUUUCAUGGGCUUCAAUUAGUUUGGGAUUGCUUCCUGCAUUUAAUAAUCUUUUACCAACACCCAAUCAAUUUUUAAUUUCCAAAAUUGCCCUUUAUUAAGUAAUUGAAAAAUCGAAAUUAGAAAAUAAAUUUUAAAAAAACGAGAAUAAAUUUUUGUGUUAUGAAAAUGAAAUUCUAGAAUAAAAUUGAAAAAAAAAUUAAAAUAUCAUUUCAAAACAGUAAUUCUAGAAUAAAAAAAAUGUAUUAAAAAAUAAUAAUUCAGAAACGUAUUAUAAUAAAGGAAUUCUAGAAAUAUAUUCCAGAAAAAAUUCUGAAAACAUAUUCUAGAAAAAAAUUCCAAAAAUUCAAAAAAAUAUUAAAAGAAUUUAAAUUUGAAAAAUAUAUUCAUAGAUAGCAAAUCCAAAAUGUAUUUUGAUUCCGCCUCCCGUCUUACUUAAAAUCUAUUUUUUUUUGUUAUUUUAUAUAAGAUAUAAGAUAUUGGGUGUAGGUUUAAAAUUGGUGCUGGAAGCAGCCCAAUUAAUUUAUGCACGAUGUGCAAUUUUGAUUGUAUUUUUUUUACCCUGAUACUUUGACACUAUAAACACAGUAUACACAUAUACUUAACAAACAGAUAAAUUAAUAUUUUAAUUAUUUUCAUUUUAAUUUUUUUAAUUAAAAUAUUAUAAUAUUAUUAUAAAGGUUGUUGAAUAGUGUUAAUCACUGCACAUGUCAAUAAAACUUUUUCCUAUUUUUUUUACCUUCCCUGAAAUAUGACAGGAAAUAAGAUUGAAUGUUAACCUUUCUUGAUCCAACUCUUUUAACGAUAUUAAAAAAAGAAUUUAAACUAAAAAUAAUAAAUUUAAAGUGAUAAUAAUUUGUUAAGAUGUAUCUGAAACCGUCCAAAAGAGGAACAUACCCUUUUUCGUCUUUUUCUGCAAAUUUCAUUUUCUGCCUUUCUCUCUCUCUAACUCCUUUCUCUACCUUUUCUUUUAAUUUCUAAAUUGUUUUUUCCUUUUCUUCUCACAAAUACAUCAUACCAACUUAAAAAAUAGCAACUAAAAGGUAGCUUGACUAUAAAAUAUUUCUAUCCAACCCUAAUUUCAUUUUAAGGUGAGUUUAUUUUUACCCUAAAAUCUUUCUAUUCUUAUUUUUUCAUAUAUAUAUAUAUAUGAGUAUUUCAAUGUUUUAUUGUCAAUUAAAAAUAUUAUUAUCUCAAUUAUUCAUCUUUUAAUUUAUUUUUUGGUUGUUAAAAAUUUCAUGUAUUUUCAAGUCUCUUUGUUGUUGUUAGUAACACGAAUAAUUGUCAAGGAUUAUUUUGAAUUAUAAGAAAAAUUUUAAUCUUAAUUAUAGAAUGUUAUUGGUAUUGGAAUUAUUGAGAUUUUGUCUUGGUAUAUUUGGAUUAAAUUAGUGUAUAUUGAAUUUCAAUGCUUUUGGUUUGGAAUAGUGAGUUUGAAUUAUAGUAGCUAUAACAUGCAAAAUGUGUAUUAAAUGUGUGCGAAUGUGAAUUUCAAACUCUUUUAAAUGAGUGGAAUAGUUGGUUUUAGUGAUUUCUACACAAUUUUAUAAUUUGAUCAGACUAUGAGAUUUCAGUUAGUGAAUUUCAUCUAUAGUGGGCGAAAAUUUUCUUUCAUACGAAUUUUCAUUAUUGAAUAAUGAUUUACCCAAUAAAUUUAAGGAUUUUGUCCAAUGGAUCUCAACCUGAAAGCAAUAGGAUGAUUUAAAUCUAACUCAACAAAUCUACUUUGUUUUGAAAUGAUAUGUUAUAUUUGAGACAUAAUUUUUUUUUAUAUAAUUGGGAAUGUUUAUGUAUAUCUGAAAUUGAUACACAUGCGUUGAAAUGAGAUUACCAAGCUUGCAUUUGAAUAAUUGUAUGUAAGUGCAUUAAAUUAAGUAUGAUUUGGUGUCUAAGUAUGGUGGGUGGAGGGGUUUAAAAUCUCAAGGUCAGAUUCGUAAGGAGUCGCUGUGGUGGAGGGACCUUAGGAAGGUAUGGUUUUUAGAGGGGUGGGGUAAUGAUUUUGAAGGCAGAGGUCGGUGGGAAGUAGGAGACGGGAAAGAAAUCAGGUUUUGGAAGGAUAAAUGGUUGGAAAACAUCUCUCUGCUACAUAAAUUCCCUAGGCUCUUUUCAAUCUCAUUAGAUACCGAUUGUACUCUUUCACAAGUUGGGUUUUGGAAUAAUAAUGUUUGGACGUGGAAGCUGCGAUGGAGAAGGAAUCUUUUUGAGUGGGAAUCCAAUUUAGUUGUUCUUUUGUUGCAGUUGUUGGAUAACAAAAGGUUAACAAGAGAGGAUGGAGUUAAACCCGAUAAAUGGAUCUGGGGGAAAGUGGGUAACUUGGAUUUUUCUUUGAAUGCAGCUUAUAAGUGUCUCAUGGGGGAGAUGUCUGCAGUGGAUGAUGAUUUAUUCGUGAAUUUUUGGUCUCUAAAGACCUUACCUUCGACACAUUUUAUGGCUUGGAGGGUGAUAUGUAAUGUCAUUCCCAUGAAGGACAAUCUCUCGAGACGCGGCAUAACUUUGUUGAGUGAUCGGUGCCCUUUGUGUGGUGAGGAAGAAGAGUCGGUACGAAAUAUAUUUUUUGAAUGCAGAAAUCUCUUGGAGAAUUUGGGGUAUGUGUCUAGAGUGGCUGGGGUUCACCUCGGUGCUACAUCGUGACCCACAAAUGAAUUUUAGGAUGUUCAAACCUAUAGGCUCGAAACAGGCAGCUACCAGGUGCUGGGGGGGGGUAUUUGGGUAGGUAUUGUGAGUGAAAUUUGGAACCAUAGGAAUAAGGUUGUGUUUGAGAAUGGGCGGGUGGACCUAGUGGAGGUUUUUACUGUGGCACAAAGGAAGAUCUGGUCUUGGGUCACAGUAAAAGAAAAAUUGGCUGUUUUCUCAUAUUCUGACUGGUGUUUGGAACCUCUCUGUUGUAUGAGGUAUUUGAAAGACUGAUUUUUUGUAUUAUUUCACUAACGUUUUGUUCCCUGUCCUGGUAGUCGUGGUGUGGUUUGUGCAGGUCUUAUCGGUAAAUCUUUUCUGGCAAGGUUGAUUUGAGGCUUGGAAAUGUAUUGUUUGUUUGUGCAGGUUGUCUUGGCCUUUUCUUUUUGGCAGAGUAGGAUGGUUGUUCUGAACUGCGAUAAAGGAAGUGACUAUUUGCAUGAUUAUUGACUUGGUGUUGGAAUUUUUAUGGCGUUUAAGCUGAAGCAAAAGGAUAUGUGGUCUUUUUUGGUUAUUGGUGUGGCCAGAUUGGGAAGCUGUUAAGUGUCUUUUGCGGGUUUUUCUGGUGUACGCAUCUUCCUUGUAGGAUCGGGUUGUUGAUGUUAGUAAUUGUUUUUUUUUUGUACAACUCUGCCUGUCACAAAGAUAGGAUUAGUUGUUUAGACGUUAUGUCGUGUUCUGGCUUUGCUGUGUUUGACGCUUGGGUUUGGUACUUCAACCUGUUGCCAAAAACUUUGUUUUAAUAGCUAGAUGUAUUUAGUUGUUGGAUGUAUGUCCUUGAUUGAGAGUAUGACAUAUUUGGUGGGGUGAAGUAACUGUAUUUAGUGGGUUUUUGUAUCUUGUCUGAAUUUGUAUCUUUGAUCUGUAGUGUGAUGUCUGUCGGAUUCCUAGUUGGCAGGGUAUUAGGAAACUUGGUGUCAGGGUUUUGUAUAAGGGUUGAGACACCCUUGAAGUGUCUCAUUUUAUUUUAUUUAUUCUUUGCUGAUAAAAAAAGAGAGUAUGAUUUGGAUUGAUUUGAGGUUAAAUAUUUGAAAUGGAAUGUUGAGUUAGUUUGUAGUAUCAAGUAUAAAAUCUCAUUAUUAAGGCAAAUGGGAUCAUUAUGUUUCCUUUGUGUGAAUAUGAUUGUUUAGCUUAUCUAAAGGAGAUAGUUAGAAAUUUCAAUAUGAUUUUAUGAUUUAAUAUAUUCUUAUGUCCUUAGAUAUUACUCAUAUACCUCUUACCCCACCUCUUCUUACAACUGAUAUGGCAUACAUAACUAUACAAUCCUGUAACAGUAGAAUGUUGUUGUGGCACAAUAAGUUGCAUCAGUUGAAGACUCCCACAAUGACCACAGAUGCAACCCAAACUCUAUAUCAACAUUCUUAGUUGAGGUUGGAAGAGUUUAUAAGGCAUUAUCCUUGUAAACUCACUAGAAAAGUGAAUAUUGAUUGAGUCAUCUAGUGGGUUAGAGACAUAAAGAGGAAUUUUUAAGCCACUCAAUGCAUAAAGACCAUAAACUAACCCAUGUCAUCUAUCUGUUGACAAAGGAAACCAAGCUUUGAUGGUUAGGCAUGAAGUAGAUGAUGGAAAAAGAGAAGAAGCCAUCACUUGGAGAGCUUCAAAAGUAGAUUUUUAGAGGAGUAUUUCCUUGACAAUGUCAAAUAUCCAAAUUUAUUCAUGCAACUGAGCAUGAAAUGUUUAAACACCUAGUUAUUUAUUAAUGUAAUCUUGGGGUUUUGUAUAAGGGUUGAGACACUCCUGAAGUGACUCUUUUUAUUUUAUUUAUAUUUUACUGAUAAAUUUUUUUUUUUAUACACUAAACCAUGUUAGAGAUACAUAAAAUUUACGUAUGCUUGAGACAGGAGAUCAAAGAGGUGGUAAUUCCCAUAUCUACUAGGGAAUUUCCAACUCUAAAUUUAGUACAGAAAACAAAAAAUUUAUUGAGAGUUUGAAGAACAACAUCAAAGUCGUUAGACUUAGUAGACUUUCAGGAAACAAGAAUACAAUUGAUUAAAAAUUCUUUAUUGGAAGCCUUAAUCAACUAGAUAAAUCAAUAUUCAUAAGUAAACCCCGUCAGUUAUAUAAACUAUACCUCACAUAGAUAAAAUGAUUUUAAUUUUCUCUAAUUUUAAAAUAUAUAAUAGAUUAUAUUAUUUCAAGAACAUCAUAUUCAAGUAUUUAUAUAUUAUUAUAUAGAAAAAAUAGUGAAUAUAUGCAUUAAUUUUGUAUUACAUUAUAAUAUGUUUUCUGGUACAAAAUACAUAUCAGAAUUGGAUUAUAUAUAUAUAUUACAAUAGAAACUGGUAACAAGUUGGAUUAUACAAAUUAAAAUUGCCAUCAAUUUGUGUCCUUUUCAAAAUCACGAGAUGAACUAUAUUAAAUGUUCAUGCUGUAGCCACUUGAAUUGUAAAUUGGUUGUUAGGGUGAAUAACACUAAAGGGCAUGAUGCAAUGUUUCUGUAGUCUGCUGCCAUUGACGUUGAUUGUUAAACCAGGACACAAAUUCUUAUAUCAGCAAACCCUCCAACCUUCAAAAUGACAAAAACAGAAUACAAAAAUGGUUUUGUCGACUCAAACCCUAAGCAUAUGUCACAAAGUCAUCAAUGAUAACCUUCACAAACAUACGUAAGUUAAGUUAUUUUGUUCGGUUUUGUUGUUUGUCAAAUCAACAAUGCUGUGGUCGGUACACAUAAUUAUAAUUAUGGACAUAUAUAAAGUUUGCAUAUCUUUUAUUUGAAUGAACAAAUAUAAUGUUAAACAAUGUAAGAAAAGAGAACCCUUCAAGUUUACAAAUUAAUAUUGUAUAAUGCAGUUGCUUUGUUUUUUUAUUUUCAGAAUGGUUUUAGAAUCUGUAUAUAUAUUAGAAGCAACAGUGGAUUAUUAUUACUAUUCAUUGUACAAAAUAUGUGGCAUUAACACUUAUAUCUAAGUCUUUUUUAAUCAAAUCCUAUAUUUUGAUUCUAAUAUUACUUUUCUAAUCAAAUACUUAACAUACUAAGAAAACUACUAUUGUUUCUUUAACAAAAGCCUGAAUCACAGUGCUUUGGAAAGUCUGAUUCUAUAUGCGAAAGUGUGAUAUCAAGUUGCCUAAUUAAUAAGUUAAAUAAUAAUUUUGAUAUUUUUAUUUGUUUUUGUAAUUUUAGUCACUAGAUUUAAAAAAAAUUGGUAAUUAUUAAAUUAUUUUCAAUGAUAAUUAAAUAUGUUUUGUAAUUUAAUUGGACAAAAUAAAAGAAAAAAAACAUUUACAAAAUUAAGGAUUUGUUUAGAAUUAAAGAACUAAAAUUGCAGAAAAAAAGGGAUUAAAAUUAUGUAUAAGAAGUAAAAAAAGAAAAAAAGGCAAUUUAAUCUAAUCAAAAUACAGAUCUAUAAUAAUUUAUCUAACUCUAACCAAUUGACAAAGGUUGAUCUUGAGAUUUAUAUUAAUCCUAGUAAAUUAUUGGAACUGAAAUCACAGUGGCAUGCAUGAGUUAGCCAUGGUAAAAUAAAGGACAAGAGAGAAGUGAGAUAGGAACAGUACAAUGACUUUCUGAAGAUAUGUUGAAAACAUAUGGUGGCAGUGUGAUGCUUGCUUCAUCUUCUUCGUUUUCUAGGAUAGAAAAUGACUCGUGAUCAUUGAUCAAGAAACAAAACUUCC
rnacentral:lncRNA from 1 species